rnacentral:rRNA from 1 species
UCACCCACCGCGGAAUCCAUAGGCGGUGCGGAGGGAACCCGGGGAACUGAAACAUCUCAGUACCCGGAGGAAAAGAAAUCAACCGAGAUUCCCUGAGUAGUGGCGAGCGAAAGGGGAGGUAGCCCAAACCCCGCGGGUGCCAAGCCCGCAGGCGUUGCCCGCGGGGGGUUGUGGGACGCGGUCGGACCGGGCUGCGGACCGGUCGGGAAGUUACCAAUCCCCUCUCUAGGCGAACCGCCCUGGAACGGCGGGCCAAAGAGGGUGACAGCCCCGUAGCCGAAAGGGAGGGGACUUCCUGGGCCGCGCUCCCGAGUACCACGGGACACGUGGAACCCCGUGGGAAGCCGGGGGGACCACCCUCCAAGGCUAAAUACUCCUGACGACCGAUAGCGCACGAGUACCGUGAGGGAAAGGUGAAAAGAACCCCGGGAGGGGAGUGAAAUAGAACCUGAAACCGUGUGCCCACAAGCAGUCGGAGGGCUAUGCCGGUCCCGCAAGGGACCGGGAUGCCUGACGGCGUGCCUAUUGAAGAAUGAGCCUGUGAGUUGUCGCGUGUGGCGAGCCUAAGGCCUUCGGGCCGGAGGCGCAGGGAAACCGAGUCUGAACAGGGCGCCGCUCCCGGAAGGGAGGGCGAGGGGGACCUCGCCAGUCGCACGCGGCAGACCCGAAACCGGGUGAGCUACCCAUGGCCAGGGUGAAGCGCGGCUAACCCCGCGUGGAGGCCCGAACCCGUCGGUGUUGCAAAACCGUGGGAUGAGCUGUGGGUAGGGGUGAUAUGCCAAUCGAACCCGGAGAUAGCUGGUUCUCCCCGAAAUGCAUUGAGGUGCAGCCCCGGUGCGGAGCGCCGCGGAGGUAGAGCACUGGAUGGGCUAGGGCGGAAGAAUCCGUACCGAACCCAACCAAACUCCGAAUGCCGCGGCGUGCUCGCCGGGAGUGAGACGGUGGGGGAUAAGCUCCAUCGUCGAGAGGGGAACAGCCCAGACCGUCGGCUAAGGUCCCUAAGUCCCAGCUCAGUGGGAAAGGAAGUGGCACCGCCCAGACAGCCGGGAGGUUGGCUUAGAAGCAGCCAUCCUUUAAAGAGUGCGUAAUAGCUCACCGGUCGAGUGGUGCUGCGCCGAAAACGUAACGGGGCUAAGCUGGGCACCGAAGCCACGGGUUCGGCGCGGGCGCGGCUCGCGCCGAGCGGUAGGGGAGCGUUCUGCCGUAGGGGGAAGCCGGACCGUGAGGACCGGUGGACGAGGCAGAAGUGAGAAUGCAGGCAUGAGUAGCGAAAAGGCGGGUGAGAAUCCCGCCCCCCGUAAGCCUAAGGGUUCUUACGGAAGGUUCGUCCGCGUAAGGUUAGGCGGGAGCUAAGGCGAGGCCGAAAGGCGUAGCCGAUGCACAGCCGGUCGACAUUCCGGCCCCGCUCGGAGUUCGUUACGAGCCGCGGAGGGACGCAGAAGGGUAGCUCUACCGGCGACCGGAAGUGCCGGGCCAACCGGGUAGGCUGGGGUCCCAGGCAAAUCCGGGACCCCGUUAAGGCCGAGACGGGAGUGCGAGCGGACUUGAAACGUCCGCGAAGGGAGUGAUCCCACGCUGCCGAGAAAAGCUUCGCGGCCAGAACUCCGGGCGCCCGUACCGCAAACCGACACAGGUAGGCGGGCACUGAAGGUGCCAAGGGGCGCGAGGGAACCCUCCUCAAGGAACUCUGCAAGUUGACCCCGUAACUUCGGGAGAAGGGGUGCCCCGGUAGGGUGAGGUGCUCCGCGCACCGAGCCCGAGGGGGCCGCAGAGAAUAGGCCCAAGCGACUGUUUAACAAAAACACAGGUCUCUGCGAAGCCGCAAGGCGACGUAUAGGGGCUGACGCCUGCCCAGUGCCGGAAGGUAAAGGGGAGGGGUUAGCUCGGCCUUCGGGCCGGGCGAAGCUCCAAACCGAAGCCCCGGUGAACGGCGGCGGUAACUAUAACCGUCCUAAGGUAUCGCCGGAAAGGCGCUGCCUGCCCGCCGGGCAACCGGCGGGGCAAUACCUGGCUAUAUGCGGGGAAGCCCUGAGAGCCCUCCCUACGUUUCCGGCUGGACGCCGGCGUAAAAAUGGCGAGGGAUUGGGCAAUCCGCAGGAAACUCCCGGCUUCACCGCUGGGAGGAUCCUCAGAGGCCAUACGCUGGGCAUCUGGUCGGGAGGCUGGGAUGAAGCUGUCUCCAGAUUGGGUGGCGGGGUUCGCGGACGGCGAAGGCUGUUUUCACGUUUCGAUCCAGCGCCACCCCUCCAUGGCCAUCGGGUAUCAGGUGCUGCCUGAGUUCGUGAUCGUCCAACACCGUCGCGAUAUCCAGGUACUCUACGCCCUGAAACGGUUCUUCGGCUGCGGCGUGGUCCGCCCCGACGACGAAGAUCGCUACGCUUACCGGGUGCGGCGGCUGGAGUGCCUGGAACGCAUCUGCGACUUCUUCCAGCAGCAUCCUCUGAAAACGAGGAAGAACGUCGAGAUGCGUCGGUUCCGAAAAAUCGUCCUCCUGAUGAAGGAGGGGCGGCACCGGACCCGAGAGGGGCUGUUAGAGAUUGUUGAGAUCGCUGCGCAGAUGAACUCCGCGAACCGCCCGGCCCUGAAGCAGAUCCGCCAGGAGCUCCUGGCCAGAUGAAGAGAUGGUCCACCCCGUGGCGAAAGUCACGGAACACGGUGAGCGAAAUUCCUUGUCGGGUAAGUUCCGACCUGCACGAAAGGCGUAACGACUUGGGCGCUGUCUCGAGGAGGGGCUCGGCGAAGGUGUACCACCCGUGAAGAUACGGGUUUCCCGCAGCUGGACGGAAAGACCCCGUGGAGCUUUACUGCAGCCUGAUACUGGAUGUGGUUUUGGCAUGUAUAGGAUAGGUGGGAGGCUGGGAAGCGGGGGCGCCAGCUCCCGUGGAGCCACCCUUGGAAUACCACCCUUGUCAGGACUACGUCCUAACCGGGGCCCUACACCGGGUCCUGGGACCGUGUCAGGUGGGCAGUUUGACUGGGGCGGUCGCCUCCUAAAGGGUAACGGAGGCGCCCAAAGGUCCCCUCAGCACGGUUGGAAACCGUGCGUCGAGUGCAAGGGCAUAAGGGGGCUUGACUGCGAGACCCACAAGUCGAGCAGGGGCGAAAGCCGGGCCUAGUGAUCCUACGGCGGCAAGUGGAAGCGCCGUGGCUUAACGGAUAAAAGCUACCCCGGGGAUAACAGGCUGAUCUCCCCCAAGAGUCCACAUCGACGGGGAGGUUUGGCACCUCGAUGUCGGCUCAUCCCAUCCUGGGGGGGCAGUACCUCCCAAGGGUUGGGCUGUUCGCCCAUUAAAGGGGUACGUGAGCUGGGUUCAGACCGUCGACGGAGGCGGCCCAGGCGGGUAACCGCCUGUGGAAAAACCGGCUCAUAACGGGGAAGCCCUCCGGGUCCACCGACCGGAUGCCGAGGGUGACCCCGUGGGAAGGUGAAGGCAGUGGACGAGACCACGAAGGCCUACGUAGCGGGGUUCCUGGACGGCGACGGAAGUGUAAUGUUGCAACUGAAGCCAAGGCGUGACUACCGUUACGGCUUCCAGAUCAAGGCGACGAUCAGUUUCUACCAAGACCGACGGAGCCGACACGUCCUAGAGUGGUGGCGUGCGCAACUGGGAGUUGGCUCCGUACGGAACCGACCGGACGGCAUCUGUCAGUACGAUAUCGAGGGCGUGGAUGCCGUCAGUCGGGUCCUGGUAGAAGUCGCUCCGUACAUCGUGGCGAAGAAGCAGCAGGUCGAGACAGCGGUGCGGUUGCUCUGCGAGAUCCGGCAGAGUCCGCGACCGUCGCCACAGGAGUUCUUGGAGUGGGCCGAGCGGGUGGAGUCCUACCAGCGCCUAAACUACUCGAAGCGCCCGCGGUACGGGACAGAAGACGUACGGCGGGAGCUGGUAGCACGGCGCGCCUUCACCCCCGUAACGACUGAGGCCGUGGAGGCCGAGGCUCGGGCGGCGACCAGACAGGAACCCAUCGCCCGGGCAACACGCCGGCACCCCCGAAAGGGGGUGGUGGGAUAGUCUACCCCCCGAGGAAACUCGGGGAGACGGUGCGUGAGACAGGUCGGUCCCUAUCCACUGCGGGCGUCGGUGGCUUGAGGGGGGCUGCUCCUAGUACGAGAGGACCGGAGUGGACGCACCUCUGGUGUACCGGUUGUCGCGCCAGCGGCACGCGCCGGGUAGCCAUGUGCGGUCGUGAUAAGCGCUGAAAGCAUCUAAGCGCGAAGCACGCCCCAAGAUGAGGCCACCCACCGGGUCAACCGGGUAAGGCCCCAGGUAGACGACCUGGUAGAUAGGCCGGAGGUGGAAGCGCGGCAACGCGUGAAGCCGACCGGUACUAAUCGGCCGA